CCGCAGCCAGCAUCGCCCGGCUCAGCCAUCUCUGAAUUCCUCAUCUCAGAAACAACCUGCGGUCGUGGAGCUGGGGAGACACAGGCCUUCCGCUGUCAGUAGGUCAGGCGACUUCUCCGAGGCUCCAGCUUCUGAACAUGUCUGUCCAGUGUGAACAAGCCUGUGUGUAGCUUGGCUGACGAGAUGGUGAAGAAAGAAACCCGCAAAGAGGGCUGAGCACAGCUCCCGGCCGCAGCGAGGGCGCGGGGAGUCGCAGGGUGGCUCUGUCAUUGUGUUUGGCAGUCAUGUCAGCUGGCAGGGUGACACCCAGGGCACAACAGAGCAGCCACUCUGCUGCCAUGACAUGUGACCUCUCAGAGAGCUGUGCUGCGCUGUGGCCAACAGCGUGGGGAUAGGCUGAGCACCAGCAGUGCCAGCUCCUAGCUGCACCGGCUUGGAUGGGAUGCUUACCUUGCUAAGCUGGGCAUCCUCAGCCUUAAAAGGGAGCCGGGGAAAGUGACCGGUGGGUUAGUGGCAGGGAUUGCAUGGACUUGGGUGUGCCCUCUCCAUGGCAUCUAGCCAGGGGCAAAGGACUGGCAUCCUCGGGAGAUGCUGAAGGAAGAUAAGGAUGCCCGGAGCAGAAGACGGGGGCUGGGCCCCCGCAGAUGGAGGGCAGCAGGAGCCGUGGGGCAUCCUGGGAAAAUCCAGAGCUGAGCUCCCAGGAGGCUGAUGGGGAGGCUGGGGGAGGGGUGUGGGAAGGAGGCUGCCCUCUGGCCCCCAGGGUGUGGCUCCGGCCUGCAGCAGCUGGACCUGUAGGGACACAGCUCAGUGGUCCCCUCCUCGGGGGGUUGGAGGGGCCAGCUCAGGUGUUGCUUUCCUUUGCAGAACUGAAACGUUCUUUUUUUCUUUUUCUCUUCUAUUUUCACUCUGGCCAAUUAGUGCAUCUCAGGCUGGUGAAAACAAGAAGCACAGAAGAAAGCAAUUGAGAGAGGGCACAGAAGCCCCGGCACUGGCUCUGGCUCCUGGCCUAGUGCCCGUGCCCGUGGUGCUGAGAGAAGGGAUGGAGACGCAGCUCCGCCCGGGAGGACAGGAGCCAGGGCAGAGGAGGCGGGCCUGGCUUGCAGGCCGCUGUGAACACCAACAGGAGACUUCAGACACCUGCUUAAUCGCAGCUGUGAGCGGCUCCUUCCCAGGCACGGGCUCCAAGCCCAGGCCUUUCUUCUCCAGGCCUGAGGCCCUUGUGUGAUGCCUUUGAAGACCGGGCUUUGUCUGGAAGGAGGCACGACCCCUGCCCCAGCCCUGGAUGCAGGAACCGCCCAGGCCUCCGGGUUUCUCUUCCUGGAACCCUCCACGGCUCCCUCGUGCUGCUGAGUGGGGAUGAGAUGGGGCCUUAGGGGGACCUGACCCUGCUCAGCCCUGCCUGUUAAGGGGGACAGCUGCCUCCACCACCGAGAAGGCCGAGGAAGCGCCUCCAGCUCCCACGAGGAGUGGGACCUCGGGGACAUGUGCUCCAGCCUCCGCGCGUCAGCCAGACGCAUGCUCCCAGGCUCCGUGGGCAGGACCGGGCAGGGCGAGGGAGGAGGACGGAGGAGGGACCCACUGGACCCAGUGGCUCUCAUCUUCUUCUCGUAUCAGGCCUCCUGGGGGGCCUCCGGUCUUUGUGAAGUCCGCAUCUUGAUGCUUCAAUCCAGAGUCUGAAAGAGGAGCGCUGGGGGGAGAAGAUGCUGGGUUACCCCGUCAGUGUGCGCCGACUGGGCGCAAGAGGCCCCCGCACGCCAGCUCCGUGCCCGCCGAGACGCGAACAGAAGGAUGGGUGGCUCGUGCUCCCGGCCGUCAGACCCUGAAGCUUGGAAGCAAGAGACUCUGGCACGUCCCCCUCUGCCCAGUGCUGCCACGGCGAGGGGAUCCCUGGAUGCCAGAGGCUGGAAGCUUCUCCCCCGAACGUCCAGAGGGCCUGUGGGCUGCGGGCACCGUGACCUUGGGCGUCUCAGCUGUGGGAGAACACACUCCUGCCUGGUUGAUCUUUUGAGCCGUGGGGUUUGUGGAGUUGUUACGGCGGCGCUAGGAAACGAACCAAACAGCAAAAACCAAGCGUCUUAGAAAACGCCACUGGUCUGAACUUGGACCCCGCAGGGAGGCUGCUGGGCCUGGGGCCGCAUCCUCAGUCUGUGACCAGCAACGGGCUCGGGUCCUGGUGCAGGUACGUCAGACGAGGGCUGGAGCCCCAGUCCCACCAGGAGACCAGGCCUGGGAGGGGCCGAGGCCCUGCCCAGGCAUGUGCCUGGCCCACUCUGGGCACGCUCGCCCAGCGUCUCACAGCAAAAUAUUUAGAUCAGACGGGGGGAAAGAGAGCAAAGCAGAAAGGACCCUCUUGCACGCCCCCUCCCGCCUCCAACCACCUUCCGUGCUGGCCGCUCCCUGCUGCCCGUGCUGAGCUGGCCCAGACACGCAAAUCCACGUGGAUCCUUUCUCAGAGCGUUGAAAUGUUUGGAUGCGGUGCACAGAGCAGACAGGAGCUGCCUCCUCUUUUUCCUGGUUACUUCCGACUAUUCCGGACACGGGGAGGGGUCACCUCCCGUUCCUGAUGAGCAUUUGGACGGGCUGUGGUUUUCACGAGAGAUGCUUCACAUGUUUCUUCGUGACAGGUGACUAGACCUGGGCUGGCUGGCCGGUCGCGGUUUGAUAGCACCUGUCCAUUGUCUUAAUUUACGUUCUCACGGUGGUGGCCUCCUGUGCCCUCACUCUCUGGAACCUGGUAGUAUCAGUCUUUCAUGUUUCCCAUGCUCGUGGGGAAAAAAAUGUCUCAUCAUGGCUUUAAUUCAUAUUUCCCUGAGUUCUGGUGAAGCUGAGUGUGUCUAAUUUCACAUGGAGAGUCUGGGCUCUUCUGCCCUGAACCGCCCACAUCCUGGGUCAUUUACCUCUUAUUGUUGCUGGGUGGGUGCUCUUUAUAUAUUACGGGUUUUAUCAUUUCUAUUUAAAGACCCAGAAAUAUUUUUU